GUACUUGAAGAAGCGGAGCCAGGGCUGAGAUCCCGAAGGCGGGCGAGGCCGCAGUUCGGGGGCCACGCCCCGGCGUGCUCGGGUCACCGCGGGAAGCCCUUGAACCCCCUGGCGCCCGGCACCCACGUGCGGUAACCGCGGCUCCUCGAGAGCUCCAGGGAUGCGGAUCUACAGUAAGGGCUGUGGCCAGAUGAAUGAAUGCACAUUUUUUAGUGGGCAGAAAGAUGUUAGAAUUCAUGAAUUAGAAUAAGCACAAAGGAGGGCGAGAGGGGAGGCCGUGGAAGCCGCAUUCCUCCCCUUGCCUUGGGCGCCCACCCCCGAAGGGGCGCGUCCCCUCCCUGCUCCACUGCACGUGGGUGUUUAACCAGGGGAUAUCCAGUGCCUCAAGCACCACGACCCGGGAGAAAACUGAGUUGAGAAGGGUCCAUUCAAGAAUUGUGCCCACAAUAUACCAGGCACUUGUCCAGACCUGCAUCGUCCAAUGCCCACCUCGACCUCCCAAAGUGUUGGGAUUAGAGGCGUGAGCCACCGCGCCCUGCCUGCAUGUGGCUAUUGAGAUGUGCUGUAUGAUACACACCGGACUUUGAAGACUCAGUGUGAAAAAUAAAAAGAAUUUUAAGAGGGGUGGGGGUCGAGGGGAGGCAGAGCAGUAGGACAAAUAGCUAAUGCACGCAGGGCUUAAAACCUAGACAACAGGUUGAUGGGUGCAGCAAACCACCAUGACACAUGUUUAUCUAUAUAGCACCUACAUGUUCUGCACUUGUAUCCUGGAACUUAAAAUUAGAAAAAAAAAAUAAUAAAAGCCAACAUGGCAUUCAUUACUGCCAAAAAAAUUAAAACACAUUGUUAAUUUUGUAUAUUGAUUACAGGUUGAACUGAUAAUAUUUUGAAUAUAUUGGGUUAAAGAAAUACAUUUAAAAUUAGUGGCUAGGCACAGUGGCUCAUGCCUGUAACCCCAGCACUUUGGGAGGCUGAGGCGGGUGGAUCACCUGAGGUCUGGAGUUCGAGAUGAGCCUGGCCAACAUGGUGAAACCCCAUUUCUACUAAAAAUACAAAAAUCAGCCGGGUGUGGUGGUGAGUGCCUGUAAUCCCAACUACUUGGGAGGCUGAGGCAGGAGAAUCGUUUGAACCCGGGAGGUGUAGGUUACAGUGAGCCGAGAUUGUCCCACUGCACUCCAGCCUGGGUGACAGAGUGAGACUCCAUCUUAAUAAUAAUAAUAAAACUAUUUCUUGCUGUUUUACUUUUCUAAUGUGACCACCAGAAAAGUUUAGAUGGCUUGUGUGACUCUCAUCAUUGAACGGAGCUGUUCUAAACAUGGGUAAGACAACGCAGAGCUUCGGUUGCAGGACAGAGAAUGAAAUAAUAGACCCAUAAGACAGAUAAGUGACUGAUUGUGACUGCUAGGGUGUUUACAGCAUAGGCCGGUGACAGGAACGAGGAGUGUGGGGAUGAGAGCCGACGUGGGCGAGAGUGCAUGCAAUGCAGGGUCAGACGUUGGAUUCAUCUCUCAGGAGUUGAAAAAGGUGGCGUUCCUGUUCUUUAUUGGCAUUGCUUGUGACACGAGGAUUGCCCCUCUUCCUGAAGAGGUUGGUCAGGAAAAUUUUUUGUUAACUUUUAUUUUAGGUUUGAGGGUCCAUGUGCAGGUUUGUUUCAUGAGUAAACUCAUGUCAUGGGGGAUGGGUGUACAGAUAAUUUCAUCACUGAGGAAUAAGCCUAGUACCCGAUGGGUAUUUUUUCGGAUCUUCUCCCUCCUCCCAUCCUCCACCCUCAGGUAGGCCCCGUUGCCCACCGUUCCCCUCCUAAUAUCCCUGUGUUCUCGCUGUGGAGCUCCCACUUAUAAGUGAGAACACGCGGUGUUUGGUUUUCUGUUUCUGCCUUAGCUUGCCUCCACCUCUAUCCAUAGUGCUGCAAAGGACAUGAUCUCGUUCCUUUUUUAUGGCUUCAUGGUAUUCCACGAUGUAAAUGUACCACAUUUGCUUUGUCAAGUCUACUGUGGAUGGGCAUUUAUGUUGAUUCCACAUCUUUGCUAUCAUGAAUAGUGUUGUGGUGAACAUACACCUGCAUGUGUCUUUAUGGUAGAACGAUUUAGAUUCCUCUGGGUAUAUACCCAGUCAUGGGAUUGCUGGGUUGCAUGGUAGUUCUGUUUUAAGUUCUUUGCAGAAUCACUAUGCUGCUUUCCGCAAUGGUUGAACUAAUUUGCACUCUCAAUAUUAUAUUGUCUAUAGCUGAGAAAGCUGAAAUGUAAAGAUUAAGUCACUUGUCCUCAGACAUGUAGACAGGAAGUGGUACAGCCAGGACUCAAACCUGCCUCCAGAGCCCGUCCUCCUAAACCUAAGUCAUGGUUUUCAAAGUGUGGUCCUUGGAUCAGCAGCAAAAGCACCACCUGGGCACUCAUUAGACAUGGAAAUUCUGGGCCUCAACCCGGACCUCAGCAUGGGAAUCCCUGGGGGUGGAGCCCGGCGGUUUGUGUUUGGGCAGCCCCAGCUGACUCUGAGGCACCAUCAGGUUGGAGGCCACAGUGGGUGAUAGUCCCUGCCCUGUGGUAGCAGCCGGCCUCCCUCCUUCAUUUCUGUUAUUCCAUCUCCUUCUUAAAACAACCCUGUGAGGCUGGCAGGGCAGAUGUCGAUUUUAUUUAACAGAUGAAGAAACUGACCCUUGAGGUUUUAUGACUUACCCAAAGUCAUCGCAUUAGUUUUGGAACUGAAACUUCAAUGGCAGAUCUUCUGGCUGUUAGUCUGAGACUGGAACUAGUACCCACAAGGACUCUGGGAGCAGUAAGGUCAGAGCAGGAGCUACUGCUUCAUUUCAUUGCCUCUAGUGAAGGAGGAGGGGGGUUCCCAGAGCACGGCUUCUCCAUGGGUCUAGCCCAUGAUAGCUGGGUGCUUACCCUGAUGUGCUGAUGAGAUUCUGCCUUAUCUCCUGCAAGCCAUUUGUGCUGUGCUAGGAUUAAACAGUACACUUUGGAACCUUAGCUGCCCACACCCUGAGAGCCAAUCACGCAGAACCCACAGGAAAUCUCGGGGCAGAAGUAGUUUGCCAUAAAUGUCCAUUUUCUCAUUUUUUGUUGUUGUGACGGGGUCUUGCUCUGUCGCCGAGGCUGGAGUGCAUUGGCGCAAUCAUAGCGCACUGCAGCCUCAACCUCCUGGGCUCAAGUCAUCUUUCCACCUCAACCUCCAAAAUAGCUGGUAUUACAGGUGUGCGCCUCCUGUAUAAUUAAAAAAAAAACAUGUUUUGAGGCCGGGUGUGGCGGCUCAUGCCUGUAAUCCCAGCACUUUGGGAGGCCAAGGCGGGUGGAUCAUGAGGUCAAGAGAUUGAGAUCAUCCUGGCCAACAUGGUGAACCCCCGUCUCUACUAAAAAUACAAAAAAUUAGCCGGGCGUGGUGGCAGGCACUUUUAAUCCCAGCUACUUGGGAGGGUGAGGCAGGAGAAUCGCUUGAACCUGGGAGGUGUAGCUUGCAGUGAGCUGAGAUCACACCACUGCACUCCAGCCUGGGCAAAAAGAGUGAAACUCUGUCUCAAAAAAAAAAAUGUUUUGAGGUUACAGGGAGCUAUGAUCACACUACUGCACUCCAGUCUAGAUAACAGAGCGAGACCCUGUCUCUGAAAAAAAAGAAAAAAAAUUCUUUGUAGAGACAAGGUUUCACUAUAUUGCUCAGGCUGGAAUCAAACUCCUGGCCUCAAGCAAUCCUCCUGUAUUGACCUCUCAAAGGGCUGGGAUUACAGGCGGGAGCCACUGUGCUCAGCCUGCAUUUCCUGAUGCAACUCGUUCACAUUCCAUCCAUUAUCAACAAUCCCCACAACUUCACCUCCUGCCAUGGAUGCCUGAGGCUGGGGAAGGGGAACUUCAUUCGGGUGUGGGCGUCACCUUAGCCACAGAGAACCUAAAAGAGUGAUCAAGCCUCACCUGAGGUUGGGAGUUCGAGACCAGCCUGACCAACAUGGGGAAACCCCAUCUCUACUAAAAAUACAAAAUUAGCCAGGUGUGGUGGCGUGUGCCUGUAAUCCCAGCUACACGGGAGGCUGAGGCAGGAGAAUCGCUUGAACCCGGGAGGCGGAGGUUGUGGUGAGCCGAGAUCGCGCCGUUGCACUCCAGCCUGGGCAACGAGAGUGAAACUCCGUCUCGAAAAAAAAAAAAAAAGACUGAUCAAGCCGACUGAAAGUCAGGGUGCUCUGUUAUUAUAACUGAGCACCGGGAAUUCUAAACACUGUCAGUGAUAAAUACUCUUCCCAGAAAAAAAACUUUCUUGUAAUUAUAUGUGUAUAAUUCCAUUUUUAUCCCUAAUCUUUUAACAAACAUGUCUUACAUGGGAGUUAAUCCCAAGGGCUCCCAGCUAUGCACUUGGUUCCAACACGUCUUCGUUCAGCCACAAGAAGUUUAUUUGGUUCAGAAGCAGAGUGCUAGCUUCAGGCACAGUUUGAUCCAGCUGAUGGGCACUGCAACCUCCUGCAUGUAAACAGCAGGUUUGAAGUGAACCGUGGUAGCACUAUGACUAUAAAGACAAACGAGGAGAACUUGCUUUACUUCACUUCAUUCCAUGUGAUCACUUGUGCUUAAAAUUUGAAUCAGUGAAACAGGGCGGUGGGAACCGCAAGCUGAAAUAUUUUUGUUAUAGUGUGGAUUUUAGCUCAUAUAUUACACAUUUUACUGAAUUCAAAUAAUGUCUUUAAAAUUGAAAUUUAGCCAGGAGUGGUGGCUCACGCCUGUAAUCCCAGCACUUUGGGAGGCCGAGGCGGGAUUUCGAGACCAGCCUGGCCAAUAUGGUGAAAACCUGUCUCUGCUAACAAUACAAAAAUUAGCUGGGCGUGGUGGCACGGGCGUGUAGUCCCAGCUACUCAGGAGGCUGAGGCAGAAGAAUCGCUAGAACCCGGGGAGCCGAGAUUGGGCCACUGCACUCCAGCCUGGGCGACAGAAUAAGACUCUGUCUCAAAAAAAUAUUAAAUAAAUAAAUAAAUAAAAUACAAUUGAAAUUUAUUUUUUUUGGCCAGGUACGUUGGCUCAUGCUUUGGGAGGUCAACGGAGGAGGAUUACUCGAGGCCAGGAGUUUGAGACCAGCCUGGGCAACAUAGUGAGAUCCUGUCUCUACAAAAAAAUUUAAAAAUUAGCCAAGCGUGCCUGUGGU
rnacentral:lncRNA from 1 species